GGUCGAGUGGAAGGGGGACAGAGCCGAGUUAUAAAAAGAAGGUGUCGGAAACUGUAACGCUGCAGCAAAGCAUCACUAGUACUCCGUGCCGUGUGAAUAUGUCAACAUGAUCAGAGGGGAGGGAGCAGGCGGCACCGGGCCGGGCGGCCGGGAGCCGCCUCUAGGGGGGGUUCUCGGGGCCGCCUCGCCCCCCGCCGUGCCCGGAGAGCGGCCCUGGCCCCGGAGAGAUGGCAGCUGGGCGCUGCCGGCGCUCGAUGGCAGGAGUGCAGCCGUUCGGCUGGCCCCGGCGCCGAGAGGGUUAACGCUCCCACACCCCUCCUCUUCCAUGAGGUGCGCGGGGAGGAGACGGGAAGUGUGGCUUUCCCCGCGGCCGGGCCGCUGUGCGGGGCAGCGGCGGGCGGGGGGGGUCAGGCCCGGUCCCCCUUCUCGGUCCCGCUCCCUGCGGGGCAGCCCGUACGUGUGGGUCCCCGUCUGCCCCGAUUCGCCUGCCGAGUUUCUGGGAUUCGUGUUCCCGGGAGGGCGGUGUCACUGCGGGGGCAGCGAGACGGGGCUCGUGCGAGUGUCAGCGUGUGCGGGGGGCCGGAGGGAAAGCAGAGCUGCCCUGGUUGCUGAGCGGCUGCGAGAGCUCCGCUCGCUCAGAUUUCGCACUCCUAAGCAACUUUUUAGCUUUUGCACGAGAAAUCGGGGCGUGCGGCAAGCCUCUGCCGGUGUCCCGAAGAGCCAGCGGGAGGGAGAAGGCAGAAGGAAAAGAAUGGCAGCGCGACUGAUGAACCCACACGUCCUCUCCCAAGCCUGCGGGAGCCACUCCAAGGCGUGUGUGCGUGCUGCGAGCCUCGUGUGCGUGUGCAGGGGAGGCUGCGUGGGUGUGCGCGCCCCGGGGAGGGGGGGCCGUGCACUGAGUGCACCGUAAAUCCGUGAUGCAGCUACUAAAGCCGGGGAGUCUCCUUGCACCCCGUGUGUACCGGGCUGACAGCGGUGCUAGUGGGUGCUGUGCAGGAGGGAGCAGGGCCAGCACGCACUGCAGUCCUGCACACCUCCCCAGUGGGACUUUCCGUUCUCUCGAUGUGUUUUCUUACGGCACUGCAAGUCCGAGCAUCCCAGGCGCCUCCAUCUCCUCUUGCCGCAGCUUCUGCUCGGCCCCCAGCCCUCGGAAGGCAACACGCAACCGCGGCUGGGCUAUGUUUAUCCCAAAUAAAAUGCAGUCGGCUCGUUUACUUUGGCAGUUUUGCAGUAAAUACUCGGGGUGCGUCGAUGACGCGCUUAUUCCGAGUGCUGCUCCCCUGUCUGUGCGGGCUGCACUCGAUCCCAGAGAAAGGUGUCAGGAGCUGGGGCCGGUGCUGGCACUGCUCCAUCGUGGAGCGGCACUGCAGGCCUCGGGCACAAUGAAAUGGGUCUCUAUGGGGCGAGUCUGUAUACUCAGACCUCAUGAACUGCUGCGGGGGAGGGAAAGGGGUCACCGUGACAGUUCUUUGCUUUCCCUUGGGCAGAGCUCUUCCUGCAAUGGACAGCUGAAUUUUAGCUAAAGCCUGAUCUAAGUGCUCUGCAAAAUAACCUGCCCGGGUCCAAAGGAGUGUGGAGAGGGAUUGGAAAUACAAGCAGGAAAACAAAACAAAACAAAACAAAACAACACCAACAAAAAACAAAAAAACAACAACCAACAAGAAAAACCAACCCGACACAGAUUUCUCUCUGGCCAGGUCACCGGUCCUCUUAACUGGGACUUACAGGGCUGGACGGAGCCGAAGGCACUUUUACACACACCUCAGGGCAUCAGAAAAAAUGCAAGUGAAGAGAGUGGUGGAGAAAGGUUCUCAUCCUUCACCCGUACCUGAGGUGUGUUCCCGCAGGAAAGGCUGCAGUGUCCCGGCACAGCCCGGCACAGCAUAUCACGGCCCGGCCCGGCCCGGCUCCGCACUUCCCGGCCUGGCACACGGCCUGGCUCCUGCUCUCUGCCAGCAAAGCAGCCAGCUGGGACAACGGCUCACAAACACAGUAACCACUCAUAUCCCUGCGGCAAGACCCGCUGUCACCUGGUCUCCAUCCCCAAACAGCUCUGACGCUCUCCAGCCCCAUCCAUUUUGCCUCGGAUGGGAGAAGAAAACCAGAGGGCACUCGGAGGCGAAUCCCUACCCCAGAGUCCCCCCCGUCCCCGAGCCCGGGCUGCCCUUUCCCCCAGCCUUGAUCCUGGAGUACGCUCUUAGCAGAGGCGCAAUGAAAGUCCUGCUCUCCGCCUCCCCCCCCCCCCCGCAACCCGCCCCACAUACACACCUAUCCUUCUGCUCCCACCACUGCUGGCUAAGCAGAAAUUGUAAAUAGAGUUCACUAUUUAGAUAAAGAUUUUAUUUAUUCAUUUAUUUAUUUUUUAAUAUCCAGGCGCAUACACACAGUUUGCCACUCAGGAAGUAGAACUAAUUGUCGUUUCCUACAGUCAAACAGAUCUAUCUUUUCAAUGCUGUCUGUGUGUGUCUGCAUGUGAGACAGAAAGAGGGAACGAGUGGAUACGUUUAUUCAAUUAUUUAAACACACACACACAACACAAAAACAAUCCCGAGGUGGGACGAGCCUUCUCGAAGGAGCCCUACAGCUCUCCAAUGCGGCAUUCCCCCCCCACCCCCCACCCCCCACCUUCGCCUGCUCCCUGCAGACCCAGGAGAACAAGGCACCCGGAGAGAGAAACCGAUUUAAUCUGCUUUGACCAUCGGCCGUGUUCUUUAACAACCCAGCCCCGGAGCUGGAACCUUGCCCACCUCCCCCGGGGUCUGCUCCGAUCCCCGCCCCCGGGCACCCCCUGGGCACCCCCGAGGCACCGGCGGGCGCCGGCUGCAGCGGAGCACGGAGAGAAACCAGGAGCCUCCAGCACCGGCGCUGCCACGCUACUCUCCCAUUUUCUUCGAGAUGCCACGGAUCCACCCGGCGAUCGAUUGAUACCUCGGCCCGGGGGAGAAUGAGGGGGUGGGGGGCAGUGGAAACAGCUGUUGCAAAAGGACAUGGUAAAUCUAAUAGGGGCUACUGUCAAUAGAGAAAUGACAGAGAAGAAGAAUUGGCUUCUUAAAGUCUGCUGAACUAACACUCAUCAUGUAGCCGCGGCCACGUAUUCUCAGUCGGAGCCUGGUAUCCAUUACUAUUUUCCUUACUAGGUUUCAAUUAAAGAGAGAUCUAACCCCCCGACGCACGCCCCCUGGCAGGAGAUAAAAGACAGGCGAGGGGAGGCAUCGGACACAUCCUGUCUGUACGCCACGUUUGUCACCAAAGCCGAGCUGCCGCCGUGCCCCGACCAAUUCCCCCGGCCGGGUAGGGCUCGAUCCCUGCGGUGAUCGCAAACGGAGAUGUGCGACGGUCCCAGGAGCCGUGCAUCUCCCCAUCUGUCUUCGCCCUCCAUUCUCCUUCUCCCGUUUUCCCAUUAUGUUUAACCCCUCUCCUCUCCUGCCGGACGGAGAAGCUCCGAGCUGGGAGGCUGCGGGUGGCUGCUCUGAGCAGGGGAUUCUCGGGGUGACACCGUCGUAGUAACUGCGUGUCACUUGUUCCCUCUCGAGUGAGAUUAAAAGCGCAAACUUCUCGGCACCGAAAACACACACACAACCAAUUUAAAAACCUGCCGAUUUUCUAGGGGAGAAGGGAAGAACUUCAUUUAGUUUCAGUGCCCUGCUGAGAGGGGGAAAGGUGGCUGGGAACAGUUUUUCCUCCUCUGUCUCGUCCCAGGUAUGUGCCCGAAGCUCCAGCGCAUCUAUACGGGGGCUGCGAAAGGCACCGAAACGUACCAAAUUUUCCCUUACGACUUGGUCAGUGUCAACCUAUAGGUGACACAGGACGUGCCGGGGUGGGGGUGGGGGGGUGGGGAUGGAGAAGGAGCUGCGGGCUGUGUCCCACCGGCGCUCCAUAAAAGUGAUAUUGGAGGAGGAAAGUCCUUCCAUCCUCUCCCAUCGCUUUCCAGCUCUCAGUGCUGCCAGGGGAUAAAUCGCUGCCUUCGGGGCUCCAGGCAGUCUCACCGGCAGCCUCGUCCCUUCGGCAUGUAGGGGAAAAGCUCAUUGCUCUGCACUCACAGGGAUGGAACUUAGCGAAACCCUCCAGAGACCGUCCCCGUGGGGAGCAGAACGAGCUGGGAACGUUUAUUUAUGAAAAGGCUCUUCUCCGUCUUUAGGGCGUGGGAGGUUUUUUGCAGCUCCGUUUUAUUUUAGUUUAGAAUUUUGACCAAACUUUAGACUGAUAUUUGGAAAGAGUGAAUGCGCACACAUGGGAAAGUGAAAAAACUGGUCCUUCGAGGUCACCCGCGAGAAGGAGAUGGGAUCUCUACCCCCUUCCAAAAGAAAAGAAAAGUAUCAGAAGGGGAAAGAUCUCAUGCUUUUAUAGUUUAAAAUACUAUGAAUGAUUUGCUUUUAAUGGCACACGUGGUUGUAAGGAAAGAGAGGCUCUGUUUUCGAUCUCGCGCUUGCUCCUCGCUUUUCUAUAGGUGUGUGUGGAUAUACGUGUGCUUUGCAGCCCUCACCUGAUGGCUCUCCUCGUCACCCCACCCUCCUCCCCGGACCCGCAGCACGUUGCAGGCCACUCUCUCCCACCGCUGUGUCCACUGCAGGGAUCCAGAAGCACGGGCACAGCCGACUCCUACCACGGCGUUUCUCCAGAGCAGCGGGGGUGUUAUGAACACUUAUUAAACCCAGAUGAUCUGAGAGUUGGGGCAUACGGAAAAGAUUUCCAAUUAAAGCCGAGAGCAGCCAGCUUCGCGUCGCAGGUGUAAACAAUAUUUGUGAGGCUCUCGCUCCUCAUCCCGGAGCGGAUUCUUCCCCUCGCUGUAUCCCGCAGGAAGGAGAGGGGAAGGGGCCGCUUCUCGCUCCGGGCCCCAUUUACCACCUCGCUGGGCUCCCCAUAUCGCUCAGCGCGCACUCGGGCGGCUCUGUGCCUGCAGCCCCCGGCCCCGAAUCUCCUCCCCUCCGCUCACCUGUUGCCGCAGCCGCUUCUGUAAAGGCAAGGAUUAAAAAGGAUAAUUCAAUAGCUCCGGUCUAGGAAAGCGGCGGCGGUGUUAAGUGACACGGGAGGUGGGGUGACACGACACGCGGGAACAGUGGGCAUCACCACGGGCUGCUGGGUACGCGCUCCUGCUUGGAAGAAGUGCUUUCUCACAACUUUGAUGCCGGAUUUAGGGGGAUCUGGGAGCUCAAAUGCAGCUGUGAAGACGUUUCCCAGUUCGCCGAGAGCGUUCGGGUUCACGAAGCAUCUCGGGGGCCGUAGGGGCGGCCCCCGAACAGCUCCAGCCUCGUUAGCGAGACCGGGCACGCUCGUUUUGGAAGAUCCUGUUAAAUAACGGAGAAAGCAUUCACGUAUGCUUAAUCCAAUGUUUCUUUAUAUACCAUUUGGACAGUUGUCUCGAUCCGAGGUCAGGAAAAAGUCCUGCUCGGUGGAGACAAGAGGCUGACAAGGUGGCAGGAGAAUGGGGGGCUUAGGGAGCGACUCGGUGGUAGCGCCAUGUAGGCAGCUCUACUUCUGAAAAACACGGGCGCUGUUGGUGCCCGCCGCUCGCGGAGCCGCUCACUCUGCCCCGGGGCAGGUUAUGGGAGGCACAGUCCGUACAGCUCCUGACCGUCCGUACCCGGCAGCGAAGUGAGCAGAGCGGAUUGCGAAAGACCGUGCGCACUGGGAUGUGGAGGGGGGUCUAGGGGGAGGGUGGAAGGAAGAAAACAGAAGAAAAGCCUGUCCCAAAGAGCUGAAGUGGGCAGAGUAUUACAUGUACAAACAUCCAAACAAGAUUGGAGCGGUACAAAGCGUCGGAAAAUCCAGAGCAGCCACAUAAAAAGAAAAGUUAAGUAGGAAGUGGUGUAAAAGCGUUGUCGUUUAUUUCGCCUUCCCUUCCAGAUGUUCUGCAUAAAGCUCUAUCUGUAGGGAGGAGGGAGCGCGCCCGGCAGAAACGAGCUCCGGGAGCGGGUGCCGGGGGCUGCCCGGGGCUGCUCGGGGCUGCGGCCACCGGAUGGCGCAGCCACCGCCCGCUGUCACCUGCGGGACCUGCGUUCACCUGUGGGUGGCCCCGGGCCCUCCCAAGCUCUGUCGGGGUAGCAGAAGUUGGUGCGGGCACGGCGCAGCACCGACCCGGCCCCGGCGUUUUUAUACACCGGGUUAUGGGACCGAGGGACUCGUGGAGUUCGGAGUGUGGCCGUCACGCUUUGCUGCAGGGGUAGGGAGGAAGCCCCUGAGCUCCGAAGCUCGUCUCGAGGGAGUAGUAACGCGUUGGGGAGAGAGAAACGCAGAGCUGAGUUUAAAGGCUGGAAAGGGAAAGAUCGAUCUUUGUGGAACAGCUGGGCUGAAAGUAUCUGCCAGAGCCCCUUGCACUUAGGGCUGGAGGAAGGUGGUUGAGAACUAAUAUCUCAAGUGACAUAAGAAGAGAACAAACAUCCUGCCAAAACUGCGUUUUGUCCUGUGUCGCUCCCUCCCCCGAAAUACAGAGCCCACCCCCCCCGCCAAUUCCCAAACAAAUAAAUCCAAAGCCAGGUCUCGCUGUCACCGGCCAGCAAAGAAAAACUAAAAACUCGCUUUUCAUGAGCGCUGCCCGCUCUGGGAAGAGCAAGGAAGCAGCCCAAAGCCCCGGACAGGUGCCUUCAUGUGCCCUCCCUCCCUCGCCAACGAAUCUGCAAUCCCAGCCCGCAGGAAAGCGCUAAGGACAGUAGCAGGGUUUAAACACAGAGAAAAGCCUGUUUGCUGCUUUAUUAGUGUUGAGUCUACUCUAAUUACGGGAAAUCGCUGCUCUCGGUCUGAAACGACGUGUUAUCUUGUGCUUGUAAAAUACAUUUCGAAUAACUCUUCUCUGUCUAUAAAAUACAGUGGACGGAAUAUAAAUAAACUGCUGUCCAUUUGUUUAAUGCUAUUUUAGCCAAAUUGACUGGCCGGAUUAGAAUUCGACAUAAAAGCUUUAAGUUUGCAGAACGUCCGCGCUGCAACGUCUGGGAGACAGGACUCUGGCUGCUGCGCGACGGGCACGUUAACUGCAUUAAAACCUCUCCAUACAUUUUCUGGCUUUUGCUUUUCUUUCCCUUUCGCAGCACAUCCACCCGCUCUCCCCGCCUCCGGGCGCCCGCGCCUGUUUUUCUCCAAAUGAAGUAUUUUACGUGAUCGAUGGAAGGAGUCAUUUGGCCCAUAAUUAGGUCAAUAAAAUCAAUGUUUAUUCCUCGGAUGGACUGAAAGCUAAUAAAUUCCUCUUUUA